AGAGUUUGAUCCUGGCUCAGAUUGAACGCUGGCGGUAUGCUUAACACAUGCAAGUCGAACGGAAACGAAACUAGCUUGCUAGUAGGCGUCGAGUGGCGGACGGGUGAGUAACGCGUAGGAAUCUGCCUGAUAGUGGGGGAUAGCCCGAAGAAAUUCGGAUUAAUACCGCAUAAUCUAUUCGUAGUAAAGUGGGGGACUUUCGAGCCUCACGCUAUCAGAUGAGCCUGCGUAAGAUUAGCUUGUUGGUAGGGUAAAAGCCUACCAAGGCAACGAUCUUUAGCUGGUCUGAGAGGAUGAUCAGCCACAUCGGGACUGAGACACGGCCCGAACUCCUACGGGAGGCAGCAGUGGGGAAUAUUGGACAAUGGGGGCAACCCUGAUCCAGCAAUACCGCGUGUGUGAAGAAGGCCUGAGGGUUGUAAAGCACUUUCAAUUGUGAAGAAAAGUUAACGGUUAAUAACCGUUGACCUUGACGUUAACUUUAGAAGAAGCACCGGCUAACUCCGUGCCAGCAGCCGCGGUAAUACGGAGGGUGCAAGCGUUAAUCGGAAUUACUGGGCGUAAAGCGUGCGUAGGCGGUUUAUUAAGUCAGAUGUGAAAGCCCCGGGCUUAACCUGGGAACUGCAUUUGAAACUGGUCAACUAGAGUAUGGUAGAGGAAAGUGGAAUUUCUGGUGUAGCGGUGAAAUGCGUAGAUAUCAGAAGGAACAUCAAUGGCGAAGGCAGCUUUCUGGACCAAUACUGACGCUGAGGUACGAAAGCGUGGGUAGCAAACAGGAUUAGAUACCCUGGUAGUCCACGCCGUAAACGAUGAUAACUAGCCGUUGGGGGGAUUUACCCCUUAGUGGCGAAGCUAACGCGUUAAGUUAUCCGCCUGGGGAGUACGGCCGCAAGGCUAAAACUCAAAGGAAUUGACGGGGACCCGCACAAGCGGUGGAGCAUGUGGUUUAAUUCGAUGCAACGCGAAGAACCUUACCUGGUCUUGACAUCCUGCGAACUUUCUAGAAAUAGAUUGGUGCCUUCGGGAACGCAGUGACAGGUGCUGCAUGGCUGUCGUCAGCUCGUGUCGUGAGAUGUUGGGUUAAGUCCCGUAACGAGCGCAACCCCUAUCCUUAUUUGCCAGCACAUUAUGGUGGGAACUAUAAGGAGACUGCCGGUGAUAAACCGGAGGAAGGCGGGGACGACGUCAAGUCAUCAUGGCCCUUACGACCAGGGCUACACACGUGCUACAAUGGGAAGGACAAAGAGCCGCGAAGCCGCGAGGUGUAGCUAAUCUCAUAAAUCUUUUCGUAGUCCGGAUUGGAGUCUGCAACUCGACUCCAUGAAGUCGGAAUCGCUAGUAAUCGUAGAUCAGAAUGCUACGGUGAAUACGUUCCCGGGUCUUGUACACACCGCCCGUCAUACCAUGGGAGUGGGUUGCACCAGAAGUGGCUAGUCUAACUUUGUGAGGACGGUCACCACGGUGUGAUUCAUGACUGGGGUAAAGUCGUAACAAGGUAGCCCUACCGGAAGGUGG
rnacentral:rRNA from 1 species